rnacentral:rRNA from 1 species
ACUCCUACGGGAGGCAGCAGUGGGGAAUAUUGCACAAUGGGCGCAAGCCUGAUGCAGCCAUGCCGCGUGUGUGAAGAAGGCCUUCGGGUUGUAAAGCACUUUCAGUUGUGAGGAAGGUGGUGUCGUUAAUAGCGGCAUCAUUUGACGUUAGCAACAGAAGAAGCACCGGCUAACUCCGUGCCAGCAGCCGCGGUGAUACGUAGGGUGCGAGCGUUGUCCGGAUUUAUUGGGCGUAAAGGGCUCGUAGGUGGUUGAUCGCGUCGGAAGUGUAAUCUUGGGGCUUAACCCUGAGCGUGCUUUCGAUACGGGUUGACUUGAGGAAGGUAGGGGAGAAUGGAAUUCCUGGUGGAGCGGUGGAAUGCGCAGAUAUCAGGAGGAACACCAGUGGCGAAGGCGGUUCUCUGGGCCUUUCCUGACGCUGAGGAGCGAAAGCGUGGGGAGCGAACAGGCUUAGAUACCCUGGUAGCUA